GGUUAAGCGACUAAGCGUACACGGUGGAUGCCCUGGCAGUCAGAGGCGAUGAAGGGCGUGCUAAUCUGCGAUAAGCGCCGGUAAGGUGAUAUGAACCGUUAUAACCGGCGAUACCCGAAUGGGGAAACCCAGUGUGACUCGUCACACUAUCAUUAACUGAAUCCAUAGGUUAAUGAGGCGAACCGGGGGAACUGAAACAUCUAAGUACCCCGAGGAAAAGAAAUCAACCGAGAUUCCCCCAGUAGCGGCGAGCGAACGGGGAGGAGCCCAGAGCCUGAAUCAGCAUGUGUGUUAGUGGAAGCGUCUGGAAAGGCGCGCGAUACAGGGUGACAGCCCCGUACACAAAAGCGCAUGUGCUGUGAGCUCGAUGAGUAGGGCGGGACACGUGGUAUCCUGUCUGAAUAUGGGGGGACCAUCCUCCAAGGCUAAAUACUCCUGACUGACCGAUAGUGAACCAGUACCGUGAGGGAAAGGCGAAAAGAACCCCGGCGAGGGGAGUGAAAAAGAACCUGAAACCGUGUACGUACAAGCAGUGGGAGCACCCUUU
rnacentral:rRNA from 1 species